GGAAGGAUCAUUACUGAAUUGUCAACACGAGUUGCUGCUGGCCCUCAAAUGGGGGCAUGUGCACGCUCUGUUCACACAUCCACUCACACCUGUGCACCCUCUGUAGUUCUAUGGUUCGGGGGACUCUUUCCCCAUUCUGUGGUUCUAUAUUUUUACACACACUCUGUAAUGAAGUCUCAUGGAAUGUAUACCGCGUUUAACGCAAUACAAUACAACUUUCAGCAACGGAUCUCUUGGCUCUCGCAUCGAUGAAGAACGCAGCGAAAUGCGAUAAGUAAUGUGAAUUGCAGAAUUCAGUGAAUCAUCGAAUCUUUGAACGCACCUUGCGCCCUUUGGCUAUUCCGAAGGGCAUGCCUGUUUGAGUAUCAUGAACACCUCAACUCUCAUGGCUUGCCAUGAUGGGCUUGGAUUAUGGGGGUCUUGCUGGCCUAUGGUCAGCUCCUCUAAAAUAGAUCAGCUUUCCAGUGUUUGGUGGCAUCACAAGUGUGAUAACUAUCUACGCUUGUGGUUUUCUGCCAGGUAACCCUCAGCGAUGGGGGUUCGCUGGGGCUCAUAAAUGUCUCUCCUCAGUGAAGACAGGUUUUUGAAUGUUUGAUCUCAAAUCAGGUAGGACUACCCGCUGAACUUAAGCAUAUCAAUAAGCGGAGGAAAAGAAACUAACAAGGAUUCCCCUAGUAACUGCGAGUGAAGCGGGAAGAGCUCAAAUUUAAAAUCUGGCGUGCCUCUGGUCGUCCGAGUUGUAGUCUGGAGAAGCGUCUUCCGUGUUGGACCGUGUAUAAGUCUCUUGGAACAGGGCGUCAUAGAGGGUGAGAAUCCCGUCUUUGACACGGACUACCAAUGCUUUGUGAGGCGCUCUCAAAGAGUCGAGUUGUUUGGGAAUGCAGCUCAAAAUGGGUGGUAAAUUCCAUCUAAAGCUAAAUAUA
rnacentral:rRNA from 1 species